rnacentral:lncRNA from 1 species
CUGUAUACCGCCGUCGUCAGCCCACCUCCCAAGAGAACGGAGCUAAACAACCCCCCCAUAAAAACGACAGGUCAAGGUGCAGCUUAUGAGGUGGCACGCAUGGGCUACAAUGCCACAUUCAUGGCCAAACGAAACUCGAGCUGAACUUCACCCAUUUAACCUCGAACUAAGCAGGAUUUAGUAGUAAGAUCAAUAAGAACAUUGAUCUGAAUCUAUGCGCUGGGGUACGCACAAACCGCCCGUCACCCCCAUUUUCAGCAAAUACACCUGAAGACGGGGCAAGUCGUAACACGGUAAGCGCACCGGAAGGUGUGCUUGGAGCAAAAAGUAGCUUACUCUAAAGCACCCGUUUUACAAUCGGAAGACGCCAAACACCGCAGCCUUUUUGAGCCUACCUUAAGCCCAUCCAAACCCACAAACCAACCAUUAAAAUAACCCAAAACAUUAUACUAAGACUAGAGAAAGUACUGUAAAGGAAAACACCACAUACAACACCAGCACAUUACAGCAGGGAUUAACCCACGUACCUUUUGCAUCACCGUCUAGCAAGAACACAGCAGACAAGAAGAAUCCAAGCCUGCCCCCCCGAAUGCAAGUGAGCUAUUUCCAAAGCAGCCACCACAAAAUAUAACGUUACAGGAACAACCAAAAAAUUCAAAAAACCACAACAACUUCCUACUUCCACCCCAGGCUACUCUAUUCAAAAAUAGAAGAAACGAUGCUAGAAUUAGUAACAAGAGACACUCUCUAAAAACAAAACCUCAAACCACAUCAUCAAGACCAACAAGUCUAAAUGAAUAUACCACACCGACCCAGUACAACUGAUUAAAGAACCAAGCUACUCCAGGGAUAACAGCGCCACAUUCUUGAAGAGUCCAUAUCAACAAGAAUACCUACGACCUCGAUGUUGGAUCAGGAUAACCUGAUGGUGCAGAAGCUAUCAAGGGUUCGUUU